rnacentral:lncRNA from 1 species
AUUCAGAAAAUUUCAGCCAUUAUUUCCUCCUUCGAUUACUCCAGUUCUACAUGUAUACUGCUUGGCAUUGUCCCAUGAGACACAGAUGCUUAUUCAUUUGUUUUUAAGGUGUUUUCUGUGUUUAAAAGAAAAUGUUGGCGGUUAUACUGUCUUCAAGUAAUUAAUAUUGCUGUCUUCUAUAUUAUCUAAUAUGCCAUUAAUCCUGUUUUUUAUUAUUUUUUAAUCCUGUUUAUUAUUAUUUUUUUAGUUGUAAAUAGACACACAAUAUCUUUAUUUUUAUGUGGUACUGAGGAUCGAACCCAGUGCCUCACACAUGCAAGUCAAGUGCUUUACCACUGAGCUACAGCUCCAGUCCCAGUAUGCUAUUGAUCUAUUUCAUGUAUUUUAUAUCAAAUUUCAUGCAUCUUUCCUCUUUAAGCUCAUCAAAUCCUCUGACUUCUUGAACAUGUGUAAUAGGCAGCCUAAAGCUACUUCCUCCUCUCCCCUCCUCUGAGCUUCAAACUCCAGCCACCAUGGCUUCCUGAAUUGCAGGCUCUGUCCUCUGAGCCUGUGGGGCUGCUGGGUUCUGGGCCACACCCUUCUACAUUAUUACCUGGAAACCACACAAAAUGUGUGACACUCUUUUUCAGGGUUUUUGUUUGUUUGCUUAUUUUUUGUUGUUUUUUAGUACUGGGGAUUGAAUCUGGGACACUUAACCACUGAGCAUAUCCCCAGCCCUUUUUACAUUUGAUUUUGAGAUAGGAUCUCGCUAAGUUGCUUAGGGCCUUAAUGAGUUGCUGAGGCUGGCUUUGAACGUGGAAGCCUCCUGCCUCAGCCUCCUGAGCCACUGGGAUCAUAGGUGUGUGCCACUAUGCCUGUCAUUCAUGGCACUCUUGGUAUCCUUCUCUCAGAUGUCACUCUUGUGCUCUCUGAAAGCCAUUGUGUUCUGUAUUUUGUCCUGUUUUUUAAUUGUGUCAGCCCUAUUCCUAACUUUUCCAGUGUCACUUUCUUCCCACCAUCUGCCCAUAAUGUCUUCUGCUACUCCAGCAAAUAGAAGAAGAAAAGAGAAGGUCACUUACUCUGUUCAUAUCCCUCUGGUUGGGUUGAGUGUUAGGGAGAAUUUUGUGGACUCUAGUGACUUGACAAUGUAGGUACUGUGAGUUUUAAAAGUUUAUUAAAUUAUGUUAUAUCCUUUUCUUAGUUUGGUUGCUCCUUGGUAGUUUUUUACCUGAGUUUGUUUUUGGCUAAUUUUGCUGUUUGGGCUCCUUUUGUUGGAAAUGUGGGAUGGGAACUCCAGUGCAUCUUCAUCCCUCCACCAUUAUCAGAGCUCCUCUACUUUCAUUUUUUCAUUUGCUAAAAUGCUCGAUAUACUGGUGGUGGUGCUCGCCAGGCCCACUGACUGCCAUUCCUAAGAUGCUAGGAUCUCAUAAGAAGAGUGCAAUUUUCACAGGCCUGCUCUUCGUUACCAGAAGCAAAAAUUCACUUAGACUAACUCACUGAGGAGGGGUGAGAGAUUCUGGCUUAUACAGCCCAGGAAGGGCAGGAACCUCCAGGAACUCUGAGACCAGAAACUACAGUCCAGCUUCACAUAGUUAGGAAGCUGUUGGAACCCCAGUGGCCCCAGAAGAGCUGCGUCUCUGUGGCCAGUGCUCUGCCUGCUUGUCUCUGUGUCUCUGCUCAGUUCUUCUCCCUUCUGCCAGCCCAUGCACUGUGCCCAUUGGUACUAUUUUGGAACUUUUUCUUGCCUUGUUCUGGCCCUGACAGUACCAUAUAAGCUUUUAUUUCAAGUGCUCAAACUAUUUGUCUUUCCUAGCUUAGCUCAACCAUUUAGCUCCAGACUGAGCAGUCCUAAGGUGUGUAAGUCUUCUCUUGUAUCAGGGCUCCUUGGAUCGAGCCCUCCCCCUACCUCCAUACACUGUGUCCAGGAAGAUCUUGUCCUGUAGCACAGAAGCUGGCCACCUUGAGUGGCUAUUUCAGUUCCCUACUGCUGUUUAAUAACCCACUUCAAAACUAGUGGCGUAAAAUGAUUUCUACUUCUUUUUCCCAUUAUUCUGUGUGCUCACUCAGCCACAUGGUUUUGUGCUUCAUGUGGUAUUGGCUGGCUCUAUCCUGGGGCAUAAUUCUGCUGGGACCUCAGCUGGGCCUGGAACAUCAAUUAGGCUUUACCCACAUGACUGGCAUCUCAUCUGGGGUGGCUGGGCUUUCAUAGCGUCUGUAUCACAUCUUAAAGUAAGUUGAUUGCAGCCCAAGAUGUCUCCAGAUGAACUGCUGCCAAGCCAGCUCUCCCCAUCCUGUGCCACUCUGCCCUCAGAAACCAGACUGACAAGGAAAUCCUGCAAGUAAUUAGAGAUUUGUUCUCUUCGGGAGCAUAAGACUUCUGCCAAAAAUGAAUCAAUAAACCAGAUGGCGUUGAUCCCAACAUUGAGCUUGGUUUUUAUUUUUACCUGAGGUGUAGUCUUUACCUUGAAGACUGGCAUUUGUUUCCUUUCUGAAAAUCACUACUAUGGUCUGUGGACUGAUUGCAUUUUCUUUUUUUAGACUUAUUGACACUCAUGUCUUAGUUAUUUUAUUUAUUGGUGAUGUCAUGUGUUGCCAGUUUUCCUGAAAAGCAAUAAUUGACUGAAAGCCAUCUCUCCUUUUAGUGUGUGAAAACUCAGAAUGGUUCAGGAAACACACUACAGUAGUGCUCACCAUUAGGCAGGCCGCUCUUCCUGAUCCAUUUAAAACACAGAAAACCCUCAAGCAUUUGGAUCCCUCUAAUGUGGAAUUUGUGAUUACUCAGCUGAUAUUUGAUUAGGCACAAGGUGUGCUUAAAAGAGUAAUAAUGUGAAGGAAGUGCUUACAUGUGCACUGUUGUUCCUAAUGUGUCCAGAGUCUCACAGUCCUGGUCCUGCUCAUCCCCCAGCCUCCUAUCCCUCUCCACUUCCUCUCCUCUGACCCUGGUCCCUCUCUGACCUCCUUUUUUCUGUGCUUAUGUGGUGGCUCACUUCUGCUAUCAGGAGACUCCAGUGACUGCUCCUGAAACCCCCAUCCCACCUCUGCCACCAGAGCAACCAUCUAGCUCUGUGCCAGUCCAGGCCCCCUCCUGCUGCAGAGUGUACCUUAGCUCUCUCCAUGAGCAGGUCUGUAGCAGGGAGAGAUGCAGAGUCCAAACUUAGAAAGCUUUGUGGUCUAGAGGACAUGCUGCUGAAUUAUGGCUGGGCUGCAGAGCAUUGUUUCCUAGAGUCAUGGAAAGCAGCAGGAUUCUCCAC